AACAAACGCUGGCGGCGUGCCUAACACAUGCAAGUCGUACGAGAAAGGGUCCUUCGGGGCCUGAGUAAAGUGGCGCACGGGUGAGUAACGCGUGGAUAAUCUGCCCUUCAGUUGGGAAUAACUCAUCGAAAGGUGGGCUAAUACCGAAUAGUGCUGUGAGACCUCGGUUGAUCAGCCAAAGAGAGCCUCUGCUUGCAAGCCCUCGCUGAAGGAUGAGUCCGGGUACCAUUAGCUAGUUGGUAGGGUAAUGGCCUACCAAGGCGACGAUGGUUAGCUGGUCUGAGAGGAUGCUCAGCCACACUGGAACUGAGGCACGGUCCAGACUCCUACGGGAGGCAGCAGUGAGGAAUCUUGCGCAAUGGGGGCAACCCUGACGCAGCAACGCCGCGUGAGUGAGGAAGGUCUUCGGAUCGUAAAGCUCUGUCGGAUGGAAAGAACCGCAUAGGGGUAAACAGCCCCUGUGUCUGACGGUACCAUCAAAGGAAGCACCGGCUAACUCCGUGCCAGCCGCCGCAGUAACAC
rnacentral:rRNA from 1 species